UUUCUUGGUUUCAGGAAAAAUGGAGGCUUCUUCCAGCAUUUCUCAAGGUGAAAGGACUCGUGAAGCAGCACAUAGAUUCAUUCAACUACUUCAUCAAUGUAGAGAUAAAGAAGAUCAUGAAGGCCAAUGAAAAAGUUACAAGUGAUGCUGAUCCAAUGUGGUACUUGAAGUACCUCAAUAUCUACGUGGGUACUCCAGAUGUGGAAGAAAGUUUUAAUGUGACACGGCCUGUAUCA